ensembl:lncRNA
UUGUUUUUUUCAUUAAGCCCGAUAAAAAAGAAGACAGCGUUACCCCUUAUGUUUAAAAAAACAAAAAACACCACUCUUGCCCCAUCAUUGGUUCGACCCGUGGUUAAAUUCAUCAGACUUAUCCGUUUCACCGGUUCAUCAGGGCCCAUGAGAUUGGUCUCGAUAAUGUUGUGUCCUUUCCUCUGUUUCUACGGUUGUUGAAUUCGGCGGAACGGCUUUACAUCUGAAUAGUAAUAUGAGAAAAGAAGGUCAGGUUAUGCAAAGGACUACAAAGACGAGCAUCAAAACAGUCAGCACUAUAACAACACGUGUGAAUGUUGUCACCAAUUACAUUUUUCCAUCCCAGUAUGCUUGGUACCUUGCCAAGGAGGCACCGUUUGACUUGACUGUUAAAGACAUGCCUGUCCUCAGAAAAUGGUGGUGCACAGUACUGCUUGAGAACUUCCAUCUGGAUGGGCACUGCAGAAGGUUCCCACACUUCAUGGAGGAGGCCAAACAAAUGGCGGCUGGACUACUUCCACCAGUCUUCAGACUGAGGCGAAAAAGAGAAUGAUUUGGAGCUGAUGGCAGUUCAUGAAGAAGCUAUAUCUUUAGGAUUCUGUAGAUUAUUUGUUAAAUAAAUUGUGAGGAAACUUUGGUGUGGUUAUUCUUCAAUGUAUAUUUAUAUCAAAUUAUGAUGAUAUACUUUACAAAAAAAAAAAUUUGAUUCUAUUAGACAUAUUAAAAAAAAUUACUUAAUUCUAAUGGUCAAUUACUUAAUGAGUAAAGUGUAUAAUACACAAUUCCAUAAAAUAAUUGUCUACACCCUAAAUCAGUUUAUUCGUCUAAAUAACGUUAACAAAAUUAAGUUAUAAAAAAAGCUUACUGACAUGUCAUAACAUUGUUUUAUUCUAUUUUUUUGGUCUAAUAAGAAAAAAUCCUGAGGUAUUUGUCUAAAUAACGUUAAACCUUUUUUAAGCUCUAAAAUGGUUACUAACGUGUCGAAAUAUUUUUUUAUUUCUAUGUUUUGUUAAUUCAAGCGAUAAAUAAGUUUAUUUGUCUAUAGAAAAAAUAAUCGGAGGUAACUUCCGUCCAGCCACAGUACUUCUGUCCCGCCUGGGUGGUGUUCUGUCAUGCCAGGGUGUUCUCCGGGGCUGCAGCUGGAUACUAUUGGAUUUCUGUGGCAAGGAAGGCGAAAUCAUAGGAGUUGAACUUCGGUUGAGAUCUUUGAACAGAAAACUAUUCAAAAAAUGAAUAUGCAUAGAUAAAACGAGU